ensembl:lncRNA
UCUUCCCCUUUAUAGAGGGGGGGGGGGGGGCGAGGCUGAGACCUGUGUGUGUGUGUGUGUGUGUGUGUGUGUGUGUGUGUGUGUGUGUGUGUGUGUGUGUGUGUGUGUGUGUGUGUGUGUGUGUGUGUGUGUGUCUGAUCCCAGACUCGGCCUCUUGAACAAGCAGGAUGUUGAAGUACUUCAACUAGUUUCAUCAAACUGAUCCCAGUUGGUGUUUUGCUUGUUGGACAUUGGAGGACCACUAAUUAACGCCCCCCCAAAUUGGGUUAUAGAUCAAACUUUUGUAACGAAGGGUUCCGUGUGGAACCAUUGCACGCUAGACGGGUUCCCCAUAGAAGAGUUCUUUUGGGGGGAACCGUGACAGAUUUUAGGAGAAAACUGAGCAUUUCCGGUGGAACCUUUUAAUAAGAUGUUCUACCAGAAAAGGGCUUUUUUAAAGGGACAGGAUGCAGAACCCUGUGAGGUUCUAGUUGGCAUGUUAAAGGAACUCUAACAUUUUUAGAAGAUAUUUAUUUGAUUAACAAACACCAGAAGAAGUAGAAACACUGAUCUUUGGGGUUAUUGAACAAAAGGAAUUUAUUUCUGUGUUUUUCGUGUCAUUCUUGUUUAUUCUGAAGUACAACUACGUUUGAUGUGGUAACUAAACUGUGUUACACUUAAAGAUCAGGGCUCAUUUUUAAACUCCAUUUAUCCGUUCUAGUUAUUCCGUAGAGAAAUCUCUACCAAUACGUGUAACGAGGGUCUGCACUGACUGAGGUUCUAGGCUGAUUUGUAGAACUUUUACAUUGAAACGUGGCAGAAGAACCCUGCAGGGGCAAAGAGAGGAACACAUUGGAGAGGUUCCCGCAAAGAGAGGAACACAUUGGAGAGGUUCCCGCAAAGAGAGGAACACAUUGGAGAGGUUCCCGCAAAGAGAGGAACACAUUGGAGAGGUUCCCGCAAAGAGAGGAACACAUUGGAGAGGUUCCCGCAAAGAGAGGAACACAUUGGAGAGGUUCCCGCAAAGAGAGGAACACAUUGGAGAGGUUCCAGCAGUGGUUGUGAUGCUGCAGGAACAUCUGCUGGUUACUGUGAGGCGAUUCUGUUCAUCCAGAAUAUUUCAACAUUUUGCUUUCAAGCUGUUUGACGCCUUUCGCACUGAAGCAGAAGUUCCACGUUGUUGGAAACGCGCUGGUGUGUCUUCUCGCCGAGGGGGGGGGUCUCAUGUAACUACUGGCAACCGCUCUGCAAACGCUUCUCCUCAGCAGGUUGGAACAUUUGCACAAAUACUGGUGAAGGGAAAGUUACAGCGUGCGUCCUGGAUGAAAUGAGACUUGAAUUUAACGUGCGGUCAGAAUGAAGCCAGAAUGAAGCGGGGGGGGGUAGUAAAGUAUGAACUAGUUACGGCACUGUAAAUAUUUUGUGUCCAGGUUGCGUCGCUUGUUUGAAAUGCAGUUGAUCUGUUAUUUCGUUUCAGUUUCUUGCAUUGUGGCUCAACAGGGUGCGCUUGUUUCUGUUCGCACCCCGCUGUGGUGUUUAACCCGACAGAGGGAAGGAAUGUGUACAAACAUCUAACAUCCACGUUUGCUGACUAAUUAUUACGACGUUCAUCUCCAGUGUGGUUUAAGUGUUUUUACCAUGAAGGUCAAUAAAGAGUCUUUAUGUUGCCCUUCAAAACAAAACCAACAACGUUUAAUGUCAUGAUGAACAAGUUUACAACUAACGGAUGUUUUAUUAUUGUGAUAUGUUGAAAGUGUGACCUGUGUAUUGUUCCUGAUGACCUGCUGCUCUGACUCCUUCAACUGGAAGUAAAACAGACGUCUUUUAAACUUCAACGGCUCUUUUUUCCUGUUUGUGUUUGUUCAAUGGAUUCCUCAUUCUCAAUAUGGAUUCUGAUAUCUGGGUUAAUCCGCACCUUAUAAAGUCAUUUUAUUUAUUUACUGUGAAAGCACAGCGACCUGUCGCGGCUCCGCUUCCACAGGCUCCUUUUAGAGGGUCGGGGUAGUUCAUUCAGUAUGUGGGGUGACCAGCAGGGGGCAGCACCACAUCAGAGUCACCAGUAUAUGAGGUGACCAGCAGGGGGCAG